UACAUAGGGUGCAAGCGUUGUCCGGAAUUAUUGGGCGUAAAGAGCUCGUAGGUCGUUUGCCACGUCGAUUGUGAAAAUCUGAGGCUCAACCUCAGACCUGCAGUCGAUACGGGCAAACUAGAGUGUGGUAGGGGAGACUGGAAUUCCUGGUGUAGCGGUGGAAUGCGCAGAUAUCAGGAGGAACACCAAUGGCGAAGGCAGGUCUCUGGGCCAUAACUGACACUGAGGAGCGAAAGCGCGGGGAGCGAACAGGAUUAGAUACCCUGGUAGUCCGCGCCGUAAACGAUGGGCACUAGCUGUGAGAACCUUCCACGGUUUUCGCGACGCAGCAAACGCAUUAAGUGCCCCGCCUGGGGAGUACGAUCGCAAGAUUAAAACUCAAAGGAAUUGACGGGGCCCCGCACAAGCAGCGGAGCAUGCGGCUUAAUUCGACGCAACGCGAAGAACCUUACCAAGGCUUGACAUAUAGCGAAAAGUGGCAGAGAUGUCAUGUCCGCAAGGGCGCUAUACAGGUGGUGCAUGGUUGUCGUCAGCUCGUGUCGUGAGAUGUUGGGUUAAGUCCCGCAACGAGCGCAACCCUCGUUCUGUGUUACCAGCAUUCAGUUGGGGACUCACAGGAGACUGCCGGGGUCAACUCGGAGGAAGGUGGGGAUGACGUCAAAUCAUCAUGCCCCUUAUGUCUUGGGCUGCACGCAUGCUACAAUGGCCGGUACAAAGUGCUGCGAAAUCGUAAGGUGGAGCGAAUCCCAAAAAGCCGGUCUCAGUUCGGAUUGAGGUCUGCAACUCGACCUUAUGAAGUUGGAAUCGCUAGUAAUCGCGUAUCAGCAAUGACGCGGUGAAUACGUUCCCGGGCCU
rnacentral:rRNA from 1 species